AGUAAAUGUUGGAAUUUUAACAAGAGUGGUUAAAAUUUUCUGCCAUCAGUUAGCUAUCCGAUAUCACCCGAUGGUUAUACCAGACAGAAAAGAAUACGACAUCAGUCACGACUUCAAUACGAUUAUCCCGGUUAAUUUGUCACCUUGAUGCAAUAGUUCAGAAGAGUGGAAAACGCUAUAAAAGUAUUAUUAAAAUCAAUGAAAUUACAGCAGAUGAACUAAACUAGAUAUCAAUUGAAAACUAGAAGUUACAAAAUUAAACAACUUGGCAAUAUCAAAUAUGGUUUACGAAAACGAUAUUAUGAGUUAUGAUUUUAUAAUAUAAUUUUCUCUAUCGCGGAAAAUCCUGAGUCCAAUUAUUAUAGGUAGCUUUAUAAUUUAAUUAAACUGUAAAUAUUUAAUUUAAUUUAAUUUUAAACAUGUUUAACCCCAAAGCACAUGCAUCCUUAACUUAAGAAUACAUUGUAUAUGGUUAUGGUUUUUGGCAACUUUUUUCCAUGGCCAUUAGGAUAAAUUAAUUGCAUUUUUUGUAUUAUAAUAUGAAACUAAUAAAACUAUUUUUUCUCAAAAAAAACUUGUUAAAUGCACCAUCACAUUAUUUGUGCCACACUAAUAAUAAAACGUAGAAAUAAGCCAACUUUGAAAUGUAAUUUUUUUUUUUUAAUAUAUACCAUACAACACCUAUUUACUAACAAGUAAUUACCUAAUAAUUGUUCGGCUCUUUUUUUAUAUUUUUUGUGUGUGUCACUCCGCCUAUUUUAUAUCCGAAUUAACACGGACCCAGGUAACAAGUGUAAAACCUUUAUAUACAUACUGCUUUUUAUUCAUUUUAAUAUUUUAAUCGAUAACUUAGUUCUUACUCGUCGUUAAAUUUGUAUAAUAAAUAACAUUGUACGUUGCAAUUUGAGAGUUUAGUUACUUGAUUUUAAGGUACGA